rnacentral:rRNA from 1 species
ACGAAGGGGGCUAGCGUUGCUCGGAAUGACUGGGCGUAAGGGGCGCGUAGGCGGCUCAUACAGUCAGGCGUGAAAUUCCUGGGCUCAACCUGGGGACUGCGCUUGAGACGUGUGGGCUUGAGUGGGGAAGAGGGUCGUGGAAUUCCCAGUGUAGAGGUGAAAUUCGUAGAUAUUGGGAAGAACACCGGUGGCGAAGGCGGCGACCUGGUCCUUGACUGACGCUGAGACGCGAAAGCGUGGGGAGCAAACAGGA